GGAUCAGUGUAUAGAGGGCAUCUGACCCUCGUAUUCUUGGCACUGAAGAUUAUAUGCAAACUCCGGGGGUAAGUAGCGGGAGGUUGUCGGUUGGUAUGACGUCGAAAACUUUACGGCUUCCAAAACAGGAGACAGAGGAAGAAUGAGUUGUUGGCUGCAGGUUAUAUCUUUUUAAAGCCUCAAAAGGUUUAUUUAGGGUCGCUUCUAAAGAUACUGCUAUAAUAAUAUUCAUCGUAUUAAAAAUGUAUGUUGCGUGUUGUUUUUUUAUGCUUGAGCUUUUCGCUUCAAUUUAUCAUGCUAUUUGCUUGCU